rnacentral:rRNA from 1 species
ACGGGGGGGGCGAGCGUUGUUCGGAAUUACUGGGCGUAAAGGGCGCGUAGGCGGCCGGCUCAGUCAGACGUGAAAUCCCUCGGCUCAACCGGGGAACUGCGUCUGAUACUGGCUGGCUCGAAUCCGGGAGAGGGAAGUGGAGUUCCAGGUGUAGCGGUGAAAUGCGUAGAUAUCAGAAGGAACAUCGGCGGCGAAAGCGACGCUCUGGCCCGUAACUGACGCUGAGGCGCGAAAGCCAGGGGAGCGAACGG